GAUUCUCCACCACUUUAUGUAUCCAAAUCAAGCUUCUCACAAAGUGAUUCAUCCUGGUUUGAUUGGAACGACGAAGAAGCUGUGCUAUUCCCAAACUGGGAAACUGGAAUCACCUGAUUUGAAAGUGGGAUAACUUCUUCAUCCCAACUCCUAUGAGAUUUAUUCAACUUCCUUGUGAUUCUCUGUUGAAAUGAAGAAGAGAAUGACCAGAAGAAGAAUCUAGUUCAUGAUCCAAGUUUGAUAUUGUAGAGGAAGUAAUCCGGAUACUUCAAGAUGAGACUAGUUCAUACAGACUUGUGAACCAAGUUAUGGUUAGAGUGAAGAAGGAAGAAGCAUGGCUGUGUGUGAUCCAUUGAUCUUAGAAAUAAAGAAGACAAAGAGAAGAAGAGAUACUUGAAGAGAUUCAGGUCUGGAAAACCUUGCUACACAAGGCAGUCCGUACAGUCUUGGCUUCCAAGUUACCUAGAGUGACUUGGAUGAUAAGGCAGGUGAGGAACUCGUCCAGCUUGAUCUUCUGAAGCAGAUUUGAAGUUAAAAUGGAGCAUCAGACCGUUGGAGAGAGCUGAGACAAGUUGGGAAUUAAAUAGAGUAAAAGUCACAUGUGCAUAAGAGGAUGAACCUGUUGUCACUUUCACCCAACCAGACUGUGCCCAUAUCUCUCUCCUGUCACUCUCUACUCCCUCUGGUCGAGAUUCACCUUGGCUGUACCUUCCUGGCUUCAUCAGAAAACCCUACAAUAUUAUUUGUUUAGUAAAACCCUGUUUUAGUCUUUGUUUAAUAUGUGUGCUUGUCUAUUUAAGACAAUGCUGUAUCUGAUUGUAAACCAAGGAGAGUAAAACUCUUUCUUCAUAUACUCUGGUUACUAAACUCUCAGAUUCUCUCUAUUCUCUUGUCUCUCACGACCUCCAUUACUCCCUUAUACUCUAGCAUACUCAGAAACUCUCCCAAACACUUUAUACUCUCUUCACUCUCUCAUUACUUUCAAUUGCUUAUCAAUCACUCUCUCUGGUUUCAUACUGAACCAGAAGCUUAUUCUCAUCAUAUUCCUUUUAUUUCAUCUCAAUUCUUUCAUGGUAUCAGAGCAACAAGCUCUUGAGAACCUAUAUUGCUUCCGCAAAUCAUCCCUGUCCAAAAUCUCUCUUUAAAAAUCUGUUCAAACCUGUUCGUUACAUCCUUUUAUCCUCUGGUCCAAAGGUUUUCCAGGAGGGAAAAACCUCACCAGAACUCAAGAUAAAGGAGUAUCUCAGUCUCUGGAACUCAAGAAAGUCUUAGCUCAGUUCAGCAAGCUUCAUCAAAGUCCAGUCUUUCAAAUCCUGUCCCUUUCAAACCAGUAGGAACAUCCUAUUAUCCACUGGUCCAAAAAUCUUCAAGAUGAUGAAUAUUCAAGCAUGGGCGAGUUCAGUGAAGCUCAAAACUCCAAACUACUCUCUCUGGGUCAGAAUGAUGAAGAAAAACCCUAGAGGCAAAGGUGUUUGGAGCCAUACUUCAGAUGAAGCUCCAUGGAAAAUCUGCAAGGUCUUUGCUCAUGUUAAUGAGAGGCAACCAGAAGCUCAGUCUCUGUCCAACAAAUCCUACUUCAAGUUGGAAGAGAAGAAAGGUCAGAAGAGUCAGCACUGCAAGGAAGGACUCACUAAGGAUAGGUGGUGGAUAUUCAAUCCACAUCUGGAACAAAUGUACUUUCAAUAAGCCCCCAUGGGCUGGAGAGUCAAGAAACCAGCUCAGGUUUCUUGAGAGUAAGCUGAAUCUUCUACUCUAAUAAAAGCACUGUGUGUGCUGGUCGUUUGUGUUGUCUUAGGGUGUUUAGAAACUAGCUUGUUGUUCUUGUCUAGUUUCUACACAUGAAAAGACUGUCCAAUUGUCAUUUUGUCUAAGUAUUUGUCUGCCUUAGAAUUUUGUUAAGAGUCUUAGUGCUAUUUUUAAUCUCUAUCUCUGAAAAAAAAAAAAAAUUUGCCAUUAUAUUAUUCUAAUCUUUUCUAGAAAAUUUUCUGGUUUAUUUGCUUCAAAAUUGUCAAGAAAAAGUUUAGAAAUUUCUUUUAACAGGUUGUUUAGACCUGGUGUUAGGUUGUGAUGUUUCUAUGUUACCUGAAAGGUUAGUUAUGAUAAUUAGGAUUCAGUGUUGUUGCUUGAAUAGUUUCAAGAAAGUUUAUGUCCAUUGUGUUCUUUGUUAAGGUGUUUUUGGAGAUCAGACUUGGUGAGAAACCAUGUUCUGAUCUCUUUAUUGUCUUUUGAUACCUGUCUUUAGUUGUGGUGACAGGUUAUUAAAUGUUAUGUGAUGGCCUUUACACAUCAAGCACAAGCUCAAAGCUCACACCCUCUUGAAGACUGCUCAAACCGACUUUCUCAAAUUUACUUCAAUAUGGAGUCAACAAAAGCCACAGUCAUUCUCAGGGUUCCUAUCUGAUCCCCUGGUCGUGUAUGAACCAAGAAGACCAGGAGGACAGGAGGGGAUCUAAGGGUGAGCUUUACAAACAGGGCUAAACACACAAGGAAAAGGAGUUGGGUAAUGAAUCCAAAACUCAAAUCCACCAAGCUCAGAUGAGUAGUGUGUAUAUGGAGGUUCAAGGAACCAGCCCAGGUUCCUUGGCUGACACAGGAUGUGACUAUUAGACCAGAAGCAGCAACAGGAAAAGGGAUAUAACCAUGUUAAUCAGAG